rnacentral:rRNA from 1 species
CCUACGGGUGGCAGCAGUGAGGAAUAUUGGUCAAUGGACGAGAGUCUGAACCAGCCAAGUAGCGUGAAGGAUGACUGCCCUAUGGGUUGUAAACUUCUUUUAUAUGGGAGUAAAAUGUUCCACGUGUGGGAUUUUGUAUGUACCAUAUGAAUAAGGAUCGGCUAACUCCGUGCCAGCAGCCGCGGUACUACGGAGGAUCCGAGCGUUAUCCGGAUUUAUUGGGUUUAGAGGGAGCGUAGGUGGAUUGUUAAGUCAGUUGUGAAGGGUUGCGGCUCAACCGUAAAAGUGCAGUUGAAACUGGCAGUCUUGAGUACAGUAGAGGUGGGCGGAAUUCGUGGUGUAGCGGUGAAAUGCUUAGAUAUCACGAAGAACUCCGAUGGCGAAGGCAGUUCACUGGACUGCAACUGACACUGAGGCUCGAAAGUGUGGGUAUCAAACAGGAUUAGAUACCCUAGUAGUC